rnacentral:rRNA from 1 species
UGUGACUGUUUACCAAAGACAUAGCUAACUGCUAUUACUUAAAGUAAAUGUAUAGUUAGUGAAACCUGCCCACUGAUAAUCUAUAAGUCAUAAAGAUUGUUUAAAGGCCGCGGUAACUCUGACCGUGCUAAGGUAGCAUAAUCAAUCGCCUCCUAAUUAGAGGCUAGAAUGAAGGGGAUUACGAGCUUCUCCCUGUCUCAAACUUAGGUUCAUUGAAAUUUAGUACUUUGUUAAGACGCAAAGAACUCCUGACUAGACGAGAAGACCCCGUCGAGCUUUAUUUUUAUCUAUUGAUUUAAAAUAUUCCGCUUGAGAAGAUUUAGUUUAAUAGGGAAGAAAUUUAGUUGGGGUGACUGCCCGAAUAAUAGAAACUUGGGUGAACAAAGGUGAUUAAUGUAGUAAUUUAGCUUUAUUCAUAGGAAGACAUUCUAGUGAAUUACUAAAUUUAAAGUAAGUUAAAUAACCCGCUUUAUUUUUAAAGCGAUUACGAAUAAAAGCUACCGCGGGGAUAACAGGGUAAUUUAGACUUAGAGCUCCUAUCGAAGUCUAAGUUUGCCACCUCGAUGUUGAAUAGCAGUAUCCUAGGAGUGCAGAAGCUUCUAAGGGUUGGUCUGUUCGACCAUUAAAACUGUACUUGAUUUGAGUUCAUUCCGUCGUAAGACAGGAAGGUUUCUAUCUU